rnacentral:tRNA from 1 species
CCUGGUGGCUCAGAGGGGAAAGCAUCUGCCUGCAGUGCAGGAGACCCGGGUUCGAUCCCUGGGUCAGGA